UCCGGCUUGUCACCGGCAGUUUCUCCAGAGUGCCCGGCAUAACCCGAUGGCAACUGAAGAUGGGGGUUGCGCUCGUUGCGGGACUUAACCCAACAUCUCACGACACGAGCUGACGACAGCCAUGCACCACCUAUCACGGGCCCCGAAGGACACCGUAUUUCUACGGCUUUUCCCGCAUAGUUCAGCCCAGGUAAGGUUCUUCGCGUUGCAUCGAAUUGAGCCACAUGCUCCGCCGCUUGUGCAGGCCCCCGUCAAUUCAUUUGAGUUUUAAUCUUGCGGCCGUACUCCCCAGGCGGGAUGCUUAAUGCGUUAGCUGCGCCACUGAAGGGUAAACCCACCAACGGCUAGCAUCCAUCGUUUACGGCGUGGACUAC
rnacentral:misc_RNA from 1 species